rnacentral:rRNA from 1 species
GAUGAACGCUGGCGGCGUGCCUAAUACAUGCAAGUCGAGCGAACAGACGAGGAGCUUGCUCCUCUGACGUUAGCGGCGGACGGGUGAGUAACACGUGGAUAACCUACCUAUAAGACUGGGAUAACUUCGGGAAACCGGAGCUAAUACCGGAUAAUAUAUUGAACCGCAUGGUUCAAUAGUGAAAGACGGUUUUGCUGUCACUUAUAGAUGGAUCCGCGCCGCAUUAGCUAGUUGGUAAGGUAACGGCUUACCAAGGCAACGAUGCGUAGCCGACCUGAGAGGGUGAUCGGCCACACUGGAACUGAGCCACGGUCCACACUCCUACGCGAGGCAGCAGUAGGGAAUCUUCCGCAAUGGGCGAAACCCUGACGGAGCAACGCCGCGUGAGUGAUGACGGUCUUCGGUUCGUAAAACUCUGUUAUUAGGGAAGAACACAUGUGUACGUAACUAUGCACCUCUUGACGGUACCUAAUCAGAAAGCCCCGGCUAACUACGUG